GACGAACGCUGGCGGCGUGCUUAACACAUGUAAGUCGAACGGAAAGGCCCUGCUUUUGUGGGGUGCUCGAGUGGCGAACGGGUGAGUAACACGUGAGUAACCUGCCCUUGACUUUGGGAUAACUUCAGGAAACUGGGGCUAAUACCGGAUAGGAGCUCCUGCUGCAUGGUGGGGGUUGGAAAGUUUCGGCGGUUGGGGAUGGACUCGCGGCGUAUCAGCUUGUUGGUGGGGUAGUGGCUUACCAAGGCUUUGACGGGUAGCCGGCCUGAGAGGGUGACCGGCCACAUUGGGACUGAGAUACGGCCCAGACUCCUACGGGAGGCAGCAGUGGGGAAUAUUGCACAAUGGGCGGAAGCCUGAUGCAGCAACGCCGCGUGCGGGAUGACGGCCUUCGGGUUGUAAACCGCUUUCGCCUGUGACGAAGCGUGAGUGACGGUAAUGGGUAAAGAAGCACCGGCUAACUACGUG
rnacentral:rRNA from 1 species